rnacentral:rRNA from 1 species
UACAGAGGGUGCAAGCGUUGUUCGGAAUUACUGGGCGUAAAGCGCACGUAGGCGGAUUGUUAAGUCGGGGGUGAAAUCCUGGAGCUCAACUCCAGAACUGCCUUCGAAACUGGCGAUCUUGAGUCCGGGAGAGGUGAGUGGAACUGCGAGUGUAGAGGUGAAAUUCGUAGAUAUCGCAAGAACACCAGUGGCGAAGGCGGCUCACUGGCC